GUGGAGGUCGGCUUCCGAGGCCGCCGGGGUGUUGUGGUCGUGGGCCCCGCGGGUGGCCCGGGUCACCGCCGGCGCUUCGGCGGCCAUCUUUGCCCGCGCCGGGCUCCCGCGACGGGAGGGGCGGCUUGCAGGCCGGAAACGGCUGUGCGGCGGCGGCGGCAGGACAUAGCAAGAAUCUCAACAUGUUUAAGAAGCUUCCUAUAUUUGUGAGAAUGUAGUGAAUGGAUCUGACUGGACU
rnacentral:lncRNA from 1 species